ACGGAAGGCAGCAGUGGGGGAUAUUGCACAAUGGAGGAAACUCUGAUGCAGCAACGCCGCGUGAGGGAAGAAGGUCUUCGGAUUGUAAACCUUUGUUUUCAGUGACGAAACAAAUGACGGUAACUGAAGAGGAAGCCACGGCUAACUACGUGCCAGCAGCCGCGGUAAUACGUAGGUGGCAAGCGUUGUCCGGAUUUACUGGGUGUAAAGGGUGCGCAGGCGGGACUGCAAGUUGGAUGUGAAAUACCGAGGCUUAACCUCGGAGCCGCAUCCAAAACUGUGGUUCUUGAGUGGAGUAGAGGUAAGCGGAAUUCCGAGUGUAGCGGUGAAAUGCGUAGAUAUUUGGAGGAACACCAGUGGCGAAGGCGGCUUACUGGGCUCUAACUGACGCUGAGGCACGAAAGCAUGGGUAGCAAACAGGAUUAGAUACCCUGGUA
rnacentral:rRNA from 1 species